UUUUUCUCCUUUGACAUAGUAUAGAGUCCCUCUUUGAUCUCUCUCUCCCUAUGCUUGGAUCGAGCACGGCUUCUCUCUCUUCCCCUCCAGCACACUCGCAUUUGACCAGUCCUUCCCUUGCUUCCCCUUCGGCAGACGACCAAAGCCUGGGAGACCCUUUUCUGGGCUUAUCACUGGCUCUUUCCGAUGUUCCCCCUUCCCCUUAGAUUUGAAGCAUGGUCAAAGUGUGAUGACCUAACGGCCACCUUGGGUAUGACUGUUUGAGGUGUUGUUGAUUAGAUCUUCGAUUGAGUAGCCAUCAAUCCCUCUUCCUCUUACAGGAUAUAUUGACUUGUUGCUUUCCUUCGGCGAUCAUUGGCUUUCUUCCAUCCCGACGGUGACAUGAUGAUAUUUUUUUUGAAAUUUAAAUUUAAAUUUUUUUAAAUUUUGAU
rnacentral:lncRNA from 1 species